rnacentral:rRNA from 1 species
GAAACAUCUUAGUACCUGCAGGAAAAGAAAAUAACAAUGAUUCCCCCAGUAGUGGCGAGCGAACGGGGAACAGCCCAAACCAGUGGCGUCGCAAGGCGUGGCUGGGGUUGUAGGACCGCGACAUUGUAUUGAAAUGGUGAGUGGAAGUAUCUGGAAAGUUACAUCACAGAAGGUGAUAAUCCUGUACACGAAGCCAAAUCAAGCAUAGCGGUAUCCUGAGUAACGCGGGACACGAGGAAUCCUGCGCGAAUCUGCCGGGACCAUCCGGUAAGGCUAAAUACUCCCGUGAGACCGAUAGCGAACGAGUACUGUGAAGGAAAGGUGAAAAGAACCCCGAGCAGGGGAGUGAAAUAGUUCCUGAAACCAUGCGCCUACAAGCGGUCGGAGCAUCUUACGAUGUGACGGCGUGCCUUUUGCAUAAUGAUCCUACGAGUUACCGUCACUGGCGAGGUUGAGUGUCAUGAGACACGUAGCCGCAGUGAAAGCGAGCCUGAACAGGGCGCACAGUCAGUGGGGGUAGACGCGAAACCAAGUGAUCUACACUUGGCCAGGAUGAAGUCCCGGUAACACGGGAUGGAGGUCCGCACCAAUAAGCGUUGAAAAGCUUCUGGAUGAGCCGAGUGUAGGAGUGAAAGGCCAAUCAAACUUGGAGAUAGCUCGUACUCCCCGAAAGGCAUUUAGGUGCCGCGUCGGAUGGUCACCGUGAGAGGUAGAGCGACCGAUAGGACAAGAGGGCUUCACCGCCUAUCGAGUCCUGACGAACUCCGAAUGCUCACGGUCUGCAGUCCGGCAGUAAGGGGGCGGGUGCUAAGGUCCGUCCCCGAGAGGAGAAGAAUCCAGACCGCCGUCUAAGGUCCCGGAGUUCUGCCUGAGUUAGUCUAACGAAGUCUGGUCCC